CCUUUCCCUUCUCCAGGCGAUCUUCCCAACCCAGGGAUCAAACCCAGGUCUCCCACAUUGCAGGCAGAUUCUUUACCAGCUGAGCCACAAGGGAAGACCUAAAUAAAUGAAAGGCUUGCAUAAAAUGUCUGGAGACCACCAAAGUGAUCUCCCCUUGCUGAGUAGCUUGCUCAAGAAUUGAAAGGCUGCCUGGCUGUCACAGAACACAAGGUGUUCACACAAACACAUUCUUCAAGAUUCUGCCUAGAAAUGUGACUAUAAUCAAUCUAGGGAACCAUUUUAAGCUAAGCUGCUGCUUCCUUCCACCAAAGACCAAUUAAUUGCAAGCCUGAAGACUACACAAGACAUACGAUCAGACCAAGCAAUGACAGAGCAGAAAUCAGCUCUAACCCAUCACAGGGCCGCUUUCAGUACCCAGCCUCCCAGCAGGACUGUCACAAGCCAUACCGAACAUGGACCCUCCGUGUGAGUGGUGGGUACAAGUGGUUGACUGCAGCUCCCAGGGCCACAUGGGCCCCCUUCCUGUGACUUUGGAGAGAGUCAAGAAAAUAUACGGAGGUUAUUCUAGCUGUGGUCUCUACUCUAUUCGUAUCAGCAAUCACUGGGAGAAAGAAGGAUUUGUAUUCAUCCCUAAUAAAGAUGCUCGUGCAUGUGUGCUAAGUCACUUCAGUCAUGUCUG